rnacentral:rRNA from 1 species
AUUGAACGCUGGCGGCAUGCCUUACACAUGCAAGUCGAACGGUAACAGGUCUUCGGAUGCUGACGAGUGGCGAACGGGUGAGUAAUACAUCGGAACGUGCCCGAUCGUGGGGGAUAACGGAGCGAAAGCUUUGCUAAUACCGCAUACGAUCUACGGAUGAAAGCAGGGGACCGCAAGGCCUUGCGCGGACGGAGCGGCCGAUGGCAGAUUAGGUAGUUGGUGGGAUAAAAGCUUACCAAGCCGACGAUCUGUAGCUGGUCUGAGAGGACGACCAGCCACACUGGGACUGGGACACGGCCCAGACUCCUACGGGAGGCAGCAGUGGGGAAUUUUGGACAAUGGGCGCAAGCCUGAUCCAGCCAUGCCGCGUGCAGGAUGAAGGCCUUCGGGUUGUAAACUGCUUUUGUACGGAACGAAAAGACUCUGGUUAAUACCUGGGGUCCAUGACGGUACCGUAAGAAUAAGCACCGGCUAACUACGUGCCAGCCGCCGCGGUAACAC